rnacentral:rRNA from 1 species
UAUGUGAUCGUCUCUCGCAUAUCAAUAAGCGGAGGAAAAGAAACUAACAAGGAUUCCCCUAGUAACGGCGAGUGAAGCGGGAAGAGCUCAAAUUUGAAAUCUUAAAGGGUUUUCCCUUUACGUACUGUAGUUUAAAGAAGUGUUUUCUGUUGAGGUUUUGGUAAAAGUUCUUUGGAAUAGGACAUCAUAGAGGGUGAGAAUCCCGUAUUUGACCUUUACUUUCAACUUUGUGAUACACUUUCAAAGAGUCGGAUUGUUUGGGAAUGCAGUCCAAAAUGGGUGGUAAAUUUCAUCUAAAGCUAAAUAUUGGCGAGAGACCGAUAGCGAACAAGUACCGUGAGGGAAAGAUGAAAAGAACUUUGAAAAGAGAGUUAAACAGUACGUGAAAUUGUCAAAAGGGAAGCGUUUGACACCAGUGUUGUUUUUCUGAAAAUCAAUUAAAGAACUGUUUAUGCUAAGCUGUUUAGACUUUAUCAGCUAUCUGUUUAGUUUUGAGCUUUUCUUUAAUGCACUUUUCAGUUAACAAGUCAACAUCAAUUUCUUUUGCUGUAAAAAAGCUUGAGGAAGGUGGCUUGAGAUUCGUCUUAAGUGUUUAUAGCCUCUUGCCUAUGCAGUCGGAGAGAUUGAGGUCUGCAGCGUAGAUCCUUCGGGGCUAAAUGCAUUUGUGCUAAGUUAUAGCAUUUUAUAGACAACUUGUUGACUAUGAUUUGUCUUGUAGCUUACUCGCUUAUGUUAUUUUACCUACGCUUAGGAUGUUGAUCUGUAGUGCGUGCGC